rnacentral:rRNA from 1 species
GCAAGUCGAGGGGUAACAUAGAGAAGCUUGCUUUUCUGAUGACGACCGGCGCACGGGUGCGUAACGCGUAUGCAACCUACCUCUUACUGGGGAAUAGCCCGGAGAAAUCCGGAUUAAUGCCCCAUAGUAUUAUUCUUUCGCAUGUUAGAAUAAUUAAAGGUUACGGUAAGAGAUGGGCAUGCGUCCUAUUAGCUAGAUGGUAAGGUAACGGCUUACCAUGGCAACGAUAGGUAGGGGGCCUGAGAGGGUGAUC